rnacentral:rRNA from 1 species
UGCGUAGGCGGUUUAUUAAGUCAGAUGUGAAAGCCCCGGGCUCAACCUGGGAACCGCAUUUGAUACUGGUAAACUAGAGUUUGGUAGAGGGUAGUGGAAUUCCAGGUGUAGCGGUGAAAUGCGUAGAGAUCUGGAGGAACACCAGUGGCGAAGGCGGCUACCUGGACCAAAACUGACGCUGAGGUACGAAAGCGUGGGGAGCAAACA